rnacentral:ncRNA from 1 species
GAAGCGAGUCCGAACAGGGCGCACCAGUCGCGUGCUCUAGACCCGAAGCGGAGUGAUCUACCCAUGGGCAGGUUGAAGCACGUGUAAGAGCGUGUGGAGGACCGAACCCACUUAGGUUGAAACGUGAGGGAUGACCUGUGGGUGAGGGGUGAAGGCCAAUCAAACUCCGUGAUAGCUGGUUCUCCCCGAAAUGCAUUUAGGUGCAGCGUCAUGUGUUUCUUGCCGGAGGUAGAGCUACUGGAUGGCCGAUGGGCCCUACAAGGUUACUGACGUCAACCAAACUCCGAAUGCCGGUAAGUGAGAGCAUGGCAGUGAGACUGCGGGCGAUAAGGUUCGUGGUCGAGAGGGAAACAGCCCAGACCACCGGCUAAGGCCCCCAAGCGUGUGCUAAGUGGGAAAGGAUGUGGAGUUGCACAGACAACCAGGAGGUUGGCUUAGGA